UACGUAGGGUGCGAGCGUUGUCCGGAAUUACUGGGCGUAAAGCGCACGUAGGCGGAUAUUUAAGUCAGGGGUGAAAUCCCAGAGCUCAACUCUGGAACUGCCUUUGAUACUGGGUAUCUUGAGUAUGGAAGAGGUGAGUGGAAUUCCGAGUGUAGAGGUGAAAUUCGUAGAUAUUCGGAGGAACACCAGUGGCGAAGGCGGCUCACUGGUCCAUUACUGACGCUGAGGUGCGAAAGCGUGGGGAGCAAACAGG
rnacentral:rRNA from 1 species